rnacentral:rRNA from 1 species
CACGAAACUUUAUGAGCUAAUUUUUAUGAGUUACCAUGUAGCAGAAUGGUGCGAUGAAAAAAAAUUAGGGGUGAUAGGCCUUACAAAUAUAGUGAUAUCUUGAUUUCCCUGAAAUGUACUAGUACAAUGACAAUCUUAAAGCUAUAAGGUUUUAAGUUUUGAUUAAAUUUGGUUUAUGAUAAGUGAGAUAUAAAAGUCUACACACAUAUAAAUAUAUAAUUCAUGUUGCAGAUUUAUUAAUUUUUAAGGGAAUGUAUUAUAAUUUAAGAAAUAUUAAUAAUGUUACUAUUAGUAUUUAGAAGAUGUUAAUAGUGAACUCGGCAUUAAGUUUUCAACUGUUUAUCAAAAACAUAGCUACGUGUAUUUACACGUGGUAUUUUCUGCUCAAUGAGUAUUAAAUAGCCGCAGUACCUUGACUGUGCAAAGGUAGCGUAAUCAUUUGUCUUUUAAUUGGAGUCAUGUAUGAACGAAUAUAUGGGGACUUUCUUUACCAUUAAUAAUUUAAGAAAUUACUUAAUGAGUGCAAAAGCUCAUAAUUAAAUAAUAGACGAGAAGACCCUAGAAAUUUAUAUAGAUGUUUUGUUGGGGCAACAUAGUAACAGUUAACUUACUAUAUGUAUAUGAAAUUAAUUAGAUAAUAUGAAUUACUCUAGGGAUAACAGCAUAAUAUUAUAAUGUUUGUGACCUCGAUGUUGGAUUAGGGAGUUAUAGUUUAGAA